AGGAGCGGCAGGGAUGGGGUGCAGGGACUGGGUGGGCUCUCCUCACCCAAUCCCUGCACCCCAUCCCUGCCGCCCCUAU